GGGGCAUCCAGGUAUGUGGGGUUCGUUCUGGCUCAGAUUGAACGCUGGCGGGAUGCUUUACAUGCAAGUCGAACGGCAGCACGGACUUCGGUCUGGUGGCGAGUGCGAACGGGUGAGUAAUGUAUCGGAACGUGCCCCAAAUGACGGGGACUAUUGCGGCGUCGCUAAUACCACAUACGCCCUUCCAGAGAGAAAGUGGGGGACCUUCGGGCCUCGCCCACUAACAGAGCGGCCGAUAUCGGAUUAGCUGGUUGAUGAUUAACGGCUCACCAAGGCGACGAUCCGUAGCUGGUUUGAGAAGGGACGACCAGCCACACUGGGACUGAGACACGGCCAGACUCCUACAGGAGGCAGCAGUGGGAAUUUUGGACAAUGAAACCCUGAUCAGCCAUCGCAUGUGCGAUGACCUUCGGGUUGUAAAAAGCACUUUUGGCGGAAAAGAAACGGCACGGGAUAUGCCCCGUGCAGCUGACGUACCUGCAGAAUAAGCACCAAGCUAACUUCCACGUAACUAUCCGCGGUAAUACGUAGGGUGCAGGCGUUAAUCGGAAUUACUGGGCGUAAAGCGUGCGCAGGCGGUUCGGAAAGAAAGAUGUGAUCCCAGAGCUUAACUUUGGAACUGCAUUUUUAACUACCAGUAAGAGUGUGUCAGAGGAGGUGGAAUUCCGCGUGUAGCAGUGAAAUGCGUAGAUAUGCGGAGGAACACCGAUGGCGAAGGCAACCUCCUGGGAUAACACUGACGCUCAUGCAUAGCAGUAGAGGCAAACAGGAUUAGAUACCCUGGUAGUCCACGCCUAAACGAUGUCAACUAGCUGUUGGGACCUUCCGGGCCUUGGUAGCGCAACUAACGCGUGGUUGACCGCCUGGGAGUACGGUCGCAGAUUAAAACUCAAGGAAUUGACGGGGACCCGCACAAGCGGUGGAUGAUGUGGAUUAAUUCGAUGUAGCAUAACCUUACCUACCCUUGACAUGUCUGGAAUCCCGAAGAGAUUUGGGAGUGCUCGCAAGAGAACCGGAACACAGGUGCUGCAUGGCUGUCGUCGCUCGUGUCGUGAGAUGUUGGGUUAAGUCCCGCAACGAAGCGCAACCCUUGUCAUUAGUUGCUACGAGGGGCACUCUAAUGAAGCUGCCGGUGACAAACCGGAGGAAGGUGAGGAUGACGUCAAGUCCUCAUGGCCCGGCCAUAUGGGUAGGGGCUUCACACGUCAUACAAUGGUCCGGGACAGAGGGUCGCCAACCCCGCGAGGAGCCAAUCCCAGAAACCCGAUCGUAGUCCGGAUCGCAGUCUGCAACUCGACUACGUGAAGUCGGAAUCGCUAGUAAUCGCGGAUCGGCAUGUCGCGGUGAAUACGUUCCGGAUGUGUACCACCGCCCGUCACACCGUAGGAGUGGGUUUUACCAGAAGUAGUUAGCCUAACCGUAAGGAGGGCGAUUACCACGGUAGGAUUCAUGACUGGGGUGAAGUCGUAACAAGGUA
rnacentral:rRNA from 1 species